CCUACGGGAGGCAGCAGUGGGGAAUAUUGCACAAUGGGCGCAAGCCUGAUGCAGCGAUGCCGCGUGAGUGAAGAAGGCCUUCGGGUUGUAAAGCUCUAUCAGCCGGGAAGAAAAUGACGGUACUUGUAUCCUUAUCCACUGCUAACUACGGCCCAGCAGCCGCGGUCUUACGGAGGGGGCAAGCGUUAUACGGAACUACUGGGGGGAGAGGGAGCGUAGACGGCUGAACGAGUCAGGCAUGAAAUCCCGGGGCUUAACCCGGGAACUGCUGUGGAGACUGGUCAGCUAGAGUGCAGCAGAGGUGGGUGGAAUGCCAUGUGUAGCGGUGAAAUGCGGAGAGAUGAGGAGGAACACCAGUGGCGAAGGCGGCUUACUGGAC
rnacentral:rRNA from 1 species